rnacentral:rRNA from 1 species
GCUUCGGCCUGGCGGCGAGUGGCGAACGGGUGAGUAAUACAUCGGAACGUAUCCUGGAGUGGGGGAUAGCCCGGCGAAAGCCGGAUUAAUACCGCAUACGCUCUGAGGAGGAAAGCGGGGGACCUUCGGGCCUCGCGCUCAAGGGGCGGCCGAUGGCGGAUUAGGUAGUUGGUGGGGUAAAGGCCUACCAAGCCGACGAUCCGUAGCUGGUCUGAGAGGACGACCAGCCACACUUGGACUGAGACACGGCCCAGACUCCUACGGAGGCAGCAGUGGGGAAUUUUGGACAAUGGGGGCAACCCUGAUCUAGCAAUGCCGCGUGUGUGAAGAGGGCCUUCGGGUUGUAAAGCACUUUUGUCCGGAAAGAAAUCAUCGGGGCUAAUACCUCUGGUGGAUGACGGUACCGGAAGAAUAAGCACCGACUAACUACGUGCCAGCAGCCGCGGUAAUACGUAGGGUGCGAGCGUUAAUCGGAAUUACUGGGCGUAAAGCGUGCGCAGGCGGUGCUGUAAGACCGAUGUGAAAUCCCCGGGCUUAACCUGGGAACUGCAUUGGUGACUGCAGCGCUGGAGUAUGGCAGAGGGGGGUGGAAUUCCACGUGUAAUAGUGAAAUGCGUAGAGAUGUGGAGGAAUACCGAUGGCGAAGGCAGCCCCCUGGGCCAAUACUGACGCUCAUGCACGAAAGCGUGGGGAGCAAACAGGAUUAGAUACCCUGGUAGUCCACGCCCUAAACGAUGUCAACUGGUUGUUGGGGAUUCAUUUCCUUAGUAACGUAGCUAACGCGUGAAGUUGACCGCCUGGGGAGUACGGUCGCAAGAUUAAAACUCAAAGGAAUUGACGGGGACCCGCACAAGCGGUGGAUGAUGUGAUUAAUUCGAUGCAACGCGAAAAACCAUACCUACCUUUGACAUGUACGGAACCCUGGUGAGAGCCGGGG